rnacentral:rRNA from 5 species
GACCUCGGAUCAGGUAGGGAUACCCGCUGAACUUAAGCAUAUCAAUAAGCCGGAGGAA